GCUGCUGACUGACUAAUUUACAAAUCACCGUGCAUCAUAAAUAACUACUCAUUAUUAUUUAUACAUCAGUCAGCCAGUCACCGUUUACCCACAAUGCAGCAUAGACUUGAUGCUCUCGAUCAAGGCCAGUGGUUUAGUAGCAGACCUGAAGGCUACGCUGCUACGGUGGGGGACGUCAUCUUUCAAAAUGUGGCUUUUCUAAAUUCUGUGUCGCUCAAAGCCUUGACCUUCCUCUCCUCUGAAGACCCAGUGAGGGUGGAGCUCAGUCAGAGAGCUGUUGAGGGACUGGUUAGGAAGAACACUUCUACAGCCAGAGAGGGGCAGUCAAGAAAUGGAAAGCUAACAG